rnacentral:lncRNA from 1 species
UGACAACUCACGCUUUCUGGGUAGCUGUGUGGAAAUUUCAUAAUCUUCUUAAAUUUUUAUAGUAGACGAAGCCGCAGCUGGGAAUGAAUCGAAUUUUUAAAAACUCUUUAAACCCAUGUUCUCUUUUUUUUCUGGAGGGCUAGGCCGGCGCUGUUUACGCAACUCAAGCGCAUCCAUCAGUGCAGACGAAAGGCGCUGAGGCAGACUGGACGCCCAUACAAUGCACAGACAGGGAGUGUAGCCACUCCUUGAUGAAGGCUCCGCAUCUGCACUGUCCAUUCUGCUCCCAGGACAGUCUCUUCACUGAGGAGAUUCUCCUCAAGGCGCACUACGUACAGGGUCAAGUACGUGGAUAAAGGCAUCAACUUUGGGGGAUGUCAACCAGAUCUUCACCACAUACACUGACCCAGCACCCAACAGUACCUGCCUGGUAACACACCUCAUAGUCCCCCAGUCACAGCAGCCAUCAGAGACGGACACAUCAUCCCCGGGGCUAUGAGCAGACUGACGGGCAGCAGCCGCAGAUCGAGUACCAGUACGCCUGCAUCAAUGAUCCGAGCCAGAGCACUGCCAAUGGGGAAGUUGUCCUUAUUGAGAUACCAGACGAAGGAAGCAAAGAGGAUUUGGAGGACGAGACUUGCUACACAGAGCACAACUUGUCGCUGCUGCUGCAGGAGAAGGAACGUCUGGAG